rnacentral:lncRNA from 1 species
UCCUUUUAAUUGAUUUAAUCAUAGUACAUUCUGGGUUGAGGAAAACAUACUUCUACAUCAGAUUAAAAACAUUCUCUCCUUUGCUACACAGUAUAACACAGGAUUUUGGUCUACGAUAAAUAUUAGAGUGACGAUGGACUCAGUAAAAACAAGAUCCUACCUAACUUGAAUAAGAUCUAAAAGCAGUUAUAUCCUUUUUGAGAAAAUGAAACAAGCUCUCAAUCCCUACAUCAAAUAGAGUCAAUUGCCAACAUGUAAAAACACAUGCUAUAGCUCUGUACCUUCACUUUGCUUUUAGUUGCUCUUUUGCCUAUUUAGCUAGCCUUCUAGCUAGAGUUCUAGGCUUCUAGCAUGCCCACAACCCAGCCAUUCUUACUACUGCAAAUCUGCAAUACAUGAAACACAAACCCUUUGCUUUAUCUAUCUAUUUGUUCGAUUAAAUUACCUUACACAAAUCUGCAAUACAUGAAAUCGAAGAAGAAUUAAAGAGAGAAACACAAACCUAUAAAUGGAGUCGACUUGGUGGAGAGGUCGAGAUGGAGAGGCGGAUUGAAGGAAGGAAGGUUUUCACGCGACUAAUCCCGACUAUGGGAGAUUUUGGCCUAAUAGGAUAUGUAGAACGAGAUGUUGGCUGUGCAGAAUGAGACUUUGAAGUUAGAGGCAAAGUGAGUUUAGGUAUCAAUUUAGGUUUUAAUCAAAAUAACAAAUUUGCCCGCGCUUCCUAAACCCUUAGUGGCGCUUCCAUAACGCUUCCAAAACACAUUUUUUUCGGAAUCGCGCUUCCGAACGCUUCCAAUGCGUUUCCGCUUCGCUUCCGCUUCGGAAACGGGAAUCGCGAGUGGCCUGGCGCUUCCAUGCUUCCUAGUGUAUGGUUCUUAGAGAGUCAAAAUCGAAAUACUACCUUAUUGACUUGGAAUCAAAAAAACUGUGUUGAAGGUAUGUAUAUCGUUAAUCUCUUUGUUUUUCUUUUUAUUAGAAUUCAAUGAUGACUUAAGAUCAGAUAGAGCAGUGGUUAGGAUUUUUAUUAUGCUACUUGACGAUUUUAGGGUUUGAAUUAGGGUUCUUCAAGAGUUAGAUCGAGUAUUUUAAAUUUCUCACUAUGGAAUCAUAUAUGCUUAAUUUUUCGUCAUGUUAUGGGUUAGUGAAAACAUUCUUUAAGCAAUAUUUGAAUUUGUGAGAUCAAAUUUGAUUACGCACUAUGUUUCAUGCUUACUUGCAAAGAGAAAACUCAAAAUUUGAAACUCACUUGCAUAGUUAUGUUUGGCUUGCAUCACAGUUUACUUUUGUUUAAGUACUUUUGUCUCAUUUGGUUUGCAUGCUUGACAACAAUAUUAAUGUCUGUACAAAUUUCUUACUGAGCAACUUGUCAAUUUGUCAAAUAACCUUC